UUAGUACUCCUUCCGUUCUGAAUUACUUGUCUUAGAUUUAUCUAGAUACGGAGGUAUCUAGCACUAAAAUGAGUCUAGAUACAUCUGUAUCUAGACAAAUCCAAGACAAGUAAUUCGGAACGGAGGGAGUAUGAG
rfam:Triticum aestivum genome assembly, contig: Triticum_aestivum_CS42_TGACv1_scaffold_392542_5AS